CGUGGGAAAUCUAGAGAUACUGCUUGUCUUGAGACCGGGAGAGGUUGGAGGUACUCCCAGGGUAGGGGUGAAAUCCUGUAAUCCUGGGGGGACCACCUGUGGCGAAGGCGUCCAACUGGAACGGGUCUGACGGUGAGGGACGAAACCUAGGGGAGCGAGCCGGAUUAGAUACCCGGGUAGUCCUAGGCGUAAAUGAUGCGAGUUAAGUGUGGGGGCAUCCACGAGAUGGCCCUGUGCUGUAGGGUAGCCGUUAAACUCGCCGCCUGGGGAGUACGGUCGCAAGGCUGAAACUUAAAGGAAUUGGCGGGGGAGCACCACAAGAGGUGGAGGCUGCGGUUCAAUUGGACUCAACGCCGGAAAACUCCCCGGGAGCGACAGCGGUAUGCUUGCCAGGUUGAUGACCUUGCUUGACAAGCUGAGAGGAGGUGCA
rnacentral:rRNA from 1 species